rnacentral:rRNA from 1 species
UUUCGCAAUGCCCGAAAGGGUGACGAAGCGACGCCGCGUGUGGGAAGAAGGCCUUCGGGUUGCAAACCACUGUCGGGAGUUAAGAAAGGUGUACGGGUAAAUAGUCCGUGCAUUUGACAAAAGCUCCGGAGGAAGCCACGGCUAACUCUGUGCCAGCAGCCGCGGUAAUACAGAGGUGGCAAGCGUUGUUCGGAAUUAUUGGGCGUAAAGAGCACGUAGGCGGCCCUGCAAGUCAGCUGUGAAAGCCUCCUGCUUAACGGGAGAAGUGCAGUUGAAACUACGGGGCUAGAGUGCGGAAGGGGAGAGUGAAACUUCUGGUGGAGCGGUGAAAUGCGUAGAUAUCAGAAGGAACACCGGCGGCGAAAGCGGCUCUCUGGUCCGUAACUGACGCUGAGGUGCGAAAGCCAGGGGAGCAAACGGGAUUAGAUACCCCGGUAGUCCUGGCCGUAAACGAUGGGCACUAAGUAGAGGGGUUUU